rnacentral:rRNA from 2 species
GGUUAAGCGACUAAGCGUACACGGUGGAUGCCCUGGCAGUCAGAGGCGAUGAAGGACGUGCUAAUCUGCGAAAAGCGUCGGUAAGGUGAUAUGAACCGUUAUAACCGGCGAUGUCCGAAUGGGGAAACCCAGUGCAAUUCGUUGCACUAUCGUUAACUGAAUACAUAGGUUAACGAGGCGAACCGGGGGAACUGAAACAUCUAAGUACCCCGAGGAAAAGAAAUCAACCGAGAUUCCCCCAGUAGCGGCGAGCGAACGGGGAGCAGCCCAGAGUCUGAAUCAGCUUGUGUGUUAGUGGAACGGUCUGGAAAGUCCGACGGUACAGGGUGAUAGUCCCGUACACCAAAAUGCACAGGCUGUGAACUCGAAGAGUAGGGCGGGACACGUGGUAUCCUGUCUGAAUAUGGGGGGACCAUCCUCCAAGGCUAAAUACUCCUGACUGACCGAUAGUGAACCAGUACCGUGAGGGAAAGGCGAAAAGAACCCCGGCGAGGGGAGUGAAAAAGAACCUGAAACCGUGUACGUACAAGCAGUGGGAGCACCUUCGGGUGUGACUGCGUACCUUUUGUAUAAUGGGUCAGCGACUUAUAUUCUGUAGCAAGGUUAACCGUAUAGGGGAGCCGCAGGGAAACCGAGUCUUAACUGGGCGUUAAGUUGCAGGGUAUAGACCCGAAACCCGGUGAUCUAGCCAUGGGCAGGUUGAAGGUUGGGUAACACUAACUGGAGGACCGAACCGACUAAUGUUGAAAAAUUAGCGGAUGACUUGUGGCUGGGGGUGAAAGGCCAAUCAAACCGGGAGAUAGCUGGUUCUCCCCGAAAGCUAUUUAGGUAGCGCCUCGUGAAUUCAUCUUCGGGGGUAGAGCACUGUUUCGGCUAGGGGGUCAUCCCGACUUACCAACCCGAUGCAAACUACGAAUACCGAAGAAUGUUAUCACGGGAGACACACGGCGGGUGCUAACGUCCGUCGUGAAGAGGGAAACAACCCAGACCGCCAGCUAAGGUCCCAAAGUCAUGGUUAAGUGGGAAACGAUGUGGGAAGGCACAGACAGCCAGGAUGUUGGCUUAGAAGCAGCCAUCAUUUAAAGAAAGCGUAAUAGCUCACUGGUCGAGUCGGCCUGCGCGGAAGAUGUAACGGGGCUAAACCAUGCACCGAAGCUGCGGCAGCGACACUAUGUGUUGUUGGGUAGGGGAGCGUUCUGUAAGCCUGCGAAGGUGACCUGUGAGGGUUGCUGGAGGUAUCAGAAGUGCGAAUGCUGACAUAAGUAACGAUAAAGCGGGUGAAAAGCCCGCUCGCCGGAAGACCAAGGGUUCCUGUCCAACGUUAAUCGGGGCAGGGUGAGUCGACCCCUAAGGCGAGGCCGAAAGGCGUAGUCGAUGGGAAACAGGUUAAUAUUCCUGUACUUGGUGUUACUGCGAAGGGGGGACGGAGAAGGCUAUGUUAGCCGGGCGACGGUUGUCCCGGUUUAAGCAUGUAGGCUGGUUAUCCAGGCAAAUCCGGAUAAUCAAGGCUGAGGUGUGAUGACGAGGCACUACGGUGCUGAAGUAACAAAUGCCCUGCUUCCAGGAAAAGCCUCUAAGCAUCAGGUAACAUCAAAUCGUACCCCAAACCGACACAGGUGGUCAGGUAGAGAAUACCAAGGCGCUUGAGAGAACUCGGGUGAAGGAACUAGGCAAAAUGGUGCCGUAACUUCGGGAGAAGGCACGCUGGUGUGUAGGUGAAGUCCCUGCGGAUGGAGCUGAGACCAGUCGAAGAUACCAGCUGGCUGCAACUGUUUAUUAAAAACACAGCACUGUGCAAACACGAAAGUGGACGUAUACGGUGUGACGCCUGCCCGGUGCCGGAAGGUUAAUUGAUGGGGUUAUCCGUAAGGAGAAGCUCUUGAUCGAAGCCCCGGUAAACGGCGGCCGUAACUAUAACGGUCCUAAGGUAGCGAAAUUCCUUGUCGGGUAAGUUCCGACCUGCACGAAUGGCGUAAUGAUGGCCAGGCUGUCUCCACCCGAGACUCAGUGAAAUUGAACUCGCUGUGAAGAUGCAGUGUACCCGCGGCAAGACGGAAAGACCCCGUGAACCUUUACUAUAGCUUGACACUGAACAUUGAGCCUUGAUGUGUAGGAUAGGUGGGAGGCUUUGAAGCGUGGACGCCAGUCUGCGUGGAGCCAACCUUGAAAUACCACCCUUUAAUGUUUGAUGUUCUAACGUUGGCCCCUGACCGGGGUUGCGGACAGUGUCUGGUGGGUAGUUUGACUGGGGCGGUCUCCUCCCAAAGCGUAACGGAGGAGCACGAAGGUUAGCUAAUCCUGGUCGGACAUCAGGAGGUUAGUGCAAUGGCAUAAGCUAGCUUGACUGCGAGCGUGACGGCGCGAGCAGGUGCGAAAGCAGGUCAUAGUGAUCCGGUGGUUCUGAAUGGAAGGGCCAUCGCUCAACGGAUAAAAGGUACUCCGGGGAUAACAGGCUGAUACCGCCCAAGAGUUCAUAUCGACGGCGGUGUUUGGCACCUCGAUGUCGGCUCAUCACAUCCUGGGGCUGAAGUAGGUCCCAAGGGUAUGGCUGUUCGCCAUUUAAAGUGGUACGCGAGCUGGGUUUAGAACGUCGUGAGACAGUUCGGUCCCUAUCUGCCGUGGGCGCUGGAGAAUUGAGGGGGGCUGCUCCUAGUACGAGAGGACCGGAGUGGACGCAUCACUGGUGUUCGGGUUGUCAUGCCAAUGGCACUGCCCGGUAGCUAAAUGCGGAAGAGAUAAGUGCUGAAAGCAUCUAAGCACGAAACUUGCCCCGAGAUGAGUUCUCCCUGAGACUUUAAGUCUCCUGAAGGAACGUUAAAGACGAUGACGUUGAUAGGCCGGGUGUGUAAGCGCAGCGAUGCGUUGAGCUAACCGGUACUAAUGAACCGUGAGGCUUAACCUU